AGGGGUUCCCCAUCCUGUCUUCCCGAUGUAACUCAGCUCUUCCGGUCCUCUGCGUGUUUGGCGCGUAAGGUGGGUUCCUGUUGUAGGGACAUGGGCUCCGUGCUAGACGCGGAAUCCGCGGCAAAACGGAUAGCAGCUGUGCCCUCAUGGAGCUUACGUGAAGUUAUGCACAACAAACAAAUGCAAACGCGGUAUAAAGUCAAAAUAUGACCGGUGUUUAAAGAUGAGUGAAAAUUGCCUCUGGGACCGAAACAGCAAGUAAACUCACCUUUGUGAGCCACCGCCCUGAGCCUCGUUGAUGUAUCAGCACCACGGAGAGCAGCUUAUCUCACACCCGACCCGUUAAUGCUUGAGUCACUCAAAUGGUGGUAAAGAAGCAAACUAUGUUUUUUCUAAUCGGCGUGGGAACUGAAGAUUGCAAAAUGGGAAGAAUACUGCUCCCAGUGCUCCUUCAGGAUGCUGCUUCCAUCUAUGUUAAGCCCUGGGUUAACUCCGCAGAAAGGUCCCCAGCAAUACAGGUGAGGAGGGCUUUGGGAGCCAGGAGGCCUUCGGUCCAGCCCCUACAAGAACUUUUCACGACUGACUGAGGCAGAUUUUGACCCCUUCACAUGUGCCGCUCGGCUUCCCUGGUGGUGUCUCUUAAUCUGUGCCAAAGGCCACAAAGCUCCAAGCCUGCACACGCUUACCAGUUGAAAUUCCAGGUAAGAAAGGCUUGCCUCUCUUGCUGUAGUUCCAGCACCGGCCCAGAGAGGGCACUGAUCAUCUGGGUAAACCACCUGAUCUAAGAGCCAGUGAGAUGCUGAGCAGUCAGUUGGACCUCCCCUGCAGGCAGGUGCUGUGCUGGAAGCACAUCAUUCAGUCCUUACCACCUAAUGAAAUGAGUGCUGUUAUUCCUAUUUUGCAAAUCUAAUUUCAUGUGGUGUAUUAGUUUGCUAGGGUUGUCAUACCAAAAUACCACAGACUGGGUGGCUUAGACAAUGGAAGUUACUUUUCUCCUGGCUUAAACAGUGGAAAUUAAUUGCUUCACUCCAGUAUAUUUUAGUUCCUCAAAUACACUGGAAGUCUGCAAUCCAGGUGUUAGCUGAGUUGUUUUCCUCUCAGGCCUCUCUCCUUGGCUUGCAGAUGGUGGCCCUCCAGCUGCCUCAUUACCUGUUCUUUUUCCUCUGUGCACAUGCACCCCUGUGUCCUCAUUUCCUUCUCUUACAAGGACACCAGUCAGACUGGAACACGCCCAUCAUCAUGGCCUCAUUUUAACUUACCACCUCUUUAAAGGUCGCAUCUCCAAAUACAGCCACAUUCUGAGGAACUGGGGGUUAGGGCAUCAACAUAUAAAUUUCAGGGGGGGCACUCUUCAGCCCAUAACGCUCCCUAGUAAAUGGUGAGGGUGAGACUUACAGUUAGAGGCGGAGCCUAGCCAUGGUGCUGUCAUUUCCCUGCUACAGCUCAUGGUGAUGCCCACUUAAGCGAAGUCUUUACAAUCCAGAGCAGCAGGGAAAGGGACGGUAUCCAAUGAGAACCUUAGUGUGAUGUCCCGGGAACAGCCUGGUGGUAUACGGGAGUCUUGGCUCCCCAGGGUGGGUUGGGGUUAACUGGGCCCGGCUUGAUUGUCCAAGUACUUGUGUUUUCUUUUCUCUGAAGCAUCUUCAGAUUGUUUUCCCUUUGGCUUUCCAAAGUCCAGCCAUCAUGAAGAAACUAGGCAGAACAAAUCUUUUCUCCCCUCCCACUUCUGUCAAAGAGAAGACAUUUCCCAAAGUGUGGGAUUCAGACUCAUGGUGAAUAUGGGAGGUAAGUUUAGAUGUUACCCAGGUCAAAACAUUUGAAGAGUUACGAAUUUAUUUGAAUUUGUAUUAAAAGCCUUAAACUGGUCCUUAUCCAUAUUUCACUGCUACUGAUACAUAGAAAAGUCAGGUAUGAGUCAAUUGAAAGAAAUACAUCACAUAAAUAGCAUUAAGUAAAUAAAUAAUCUGAUGAAAAUUGUGAAGGUUGGUAUCUGAGUGACUGAAAUUCGGGAAACACUGGAACAGUCUCCCUACAAGUAGGAAACAUUUUGGUUGUGGGCAUAGAUGUCACCUUGCUUUUUUUUGACCUGAUUCAUCUAUACUCUUGGCCCUUAUUUGCCCUGAGGACUCAUCAUGAGGGUGACUGCAGGACUUUGGUUUCUCUGCCUGUGCCCCUGUGCCGAUCACAUUGGGGGCCAGGUGAAGAGGCGAGUGGAUGCUAGGGUGAUAGUGAGAGGCCAGCUUUUGUGGUUAAGGCUUCUGGGUUUUAUUUAUUUAGAGUCUUGCUCUAGGGCUCCUGAACAGCUUGGCAGUGACUCACAGCUCUGUAUGUAAAAGCAGGUGUUUAUCACUGUGUGAUCAAGAGUUUUAGCAACUCAAAGUCUGAUGUGGAAGGAAGCAUUUAAAAUUUAAUUACACAUAGGGCAUAACUCUGCAGACUCAAUUCAUAAUUGCUAUGAAUUUUAGCAGUGCUUUGUUCCCCUUGAAUUUCAAGCCCUUCUGCUCCACAUUUGGCUCUGUUCAGUGGCCAGCCGCAGCUGCUGACACCUGCCACUGCCUGUCCCUGUGUUUCCAUACCAGGUGCCUGGUGAGGAUGAGCGGCUCUGGGCACAGGGGAGCUGGCUGCUUGUCCUGAUCUGCUCAAAUGCUCAGUGGCCUGUUACCGUGGCUGCAUUUUGCAGCCACUGUAUUGGCUUUAAGCUCUAAUUUUCUGUGAUUCCUGUGCACCUCUCCCCCCAGGUUGUGUUCUGCUUUAUUAAUGUAAGGUUGCCCUCCAGUGUCCAGAGAGAUCAUGUGCCUGGGGAAAGGGCUCCCUUCUAGAACUUGAGAAAGUUGGACACAAAAUAUUGCAGUGUCUGUCCAAAGAAGAAAGAUAGUUUAGAGCAGCACUUCUCAGACUUCACUAUGUGUGUGAAUCACCUGGGGGUCUUAGUGAAAUAUGGGUUCAGACUGAGUAGGUUGGGAGUGGGGCCUGAGAUUCUGCCUUCCUUGCAAGCUCCCUGGUGACUCCCUUGCUGCUGGUUGCAGCCCACACAUUGAGCAGCAAGACUUGGAGCAAUUCUCCCUGCUUCUUGUAGGUUAACAACCACAGCGCAGGCCAGAUAGUCUUCACAUAACCUGCAUGAAUGAGAGGUGUCCUCGUCCCUCUGUAUGUUCCGGCUCCUGCCUUCCACCUCUUCUAAUCUCAUUCUCCCCUUCAUUUGCUUCACUCCAGUAUAUUUUAGUUCCUCAAAUACACUAAGCUCUUACC